AAUCUUUAUAUGUAUACAACUCCUAAAACUAUUAUUUAAAACGCAGUAUGUACACACAUAACCAAACUUUCCGUUUUAACCAGCCAAAGCCCCAAGAUGUAAUACAUUUCUAUUGUAUUUUCGUCCAUUAAGUAUAAAUUAAUAAAAUCGUGUCAUUAUCGUUUCAUUUUGGAAUAGGCACUUCUGCUACUCCGCAAAAGACUAGUUCUUGAUGAAUUAGAUGGUUUAUCAUAUACGUCCGGCUCAUUAGUUUGAUUAGACGAUGUGUAGGUUUCCCUAACGAAUUUCUUAUCCGAAUCUAAAUUUAAAUUCGUAGUUUCCUUAAUUAAAGACGAAUCUCGUGUCCAAGAUGGAGUGGCAGGAAGUUCUCGUUUGGAAGGUGUAUCGCCAGUUGUUUCCAGCUUCACCAAAGACGUGUCUUCUAUAGUAGUUUCAAGGUUACAUAGAGAUUCAUCUCCUAAACCAAGUAAUUCAUUAGUAUGAUUAGCAAGUGAUGUCGUUCCCUUUAAAACAUGAUCUGUAAUUUUCUGUAAUU